AAAUGCCACUGCCAAUGAAUGACACAUAAGAAUAGCCGUUAUUAGACCAAACCAAGAAAGACCUGCAGGAGUCGACUUUGAGGUGAAACAUAGUCCAAAUGAUGUUGCAAAUUUCUAAAGCUACAUUUACUUUCGGUAUUCAUAGAGAGGACUUUUACCUAUUUUACAUAGGCAACAGUGAAAAUCCCCAUUAAGAAAAUGCCAUAUUGGCAUUAAUCCUAAUGCAGCAAUCUUCAUUUAUCGUUUGGCGGAUAUGUUGGAUGGUAUAUGCCGUAAUCGCAAUAAUAUUUUUUUUCGUUCUUUUUGACAUUUGAGACUUUUUUUAUCCAUCUAUUUUCAAGAACAAUUCAUCUUCCCUAUCAUCUAUCAAGGUUAAUUGAAACAGAACAUAGAAAUUUUGCUUACUCGCAGAUGGCUCGAGAUUAGCUUCCCAAUAUGGCUCUCUAAAACCUGUUAACUAAUCACUAACAACUUAUGGCCGAAAAACUAGAUUUUCGUCAUAUCAUCUAGAAUUGGUCCGACAGAGUAUGAUAUCGUUGAGAAUGAACGCAUUGACCGCCCAUCCUUUCAGAAAGGCAAAUCAAUCCGCUGCCCACCAAAGACUGGCUAGCUUUGCGCCUUCAUUAAAGCCCUAAGAGGGGUAUUUUUGGUGGUGCACGUAUGGGCUGGCAAACCCGCAGUGCGGUCUUCGAGUCUCACAAUAUCAACGAAGUUGAGGCCUGCCACGCAUCUGUUUUGUCGCGUCUUGACAAAUGCAACCUGCAAACGCCGAGCAUUACGCCUUUUCUUGGAACAGCGACGGGUGUUUUCUCUUUGCUGGGUGAACUUCCGGGAGCAAGUGUCGAACUUCUUUGGCCUGCCGUUUCACACCAAUCGAACUAUUUCAGCAUAAUUGACUUCUGCCACUGCGACAAGGUAUUUCCGUGCUUUCGGUGUUCUCUGGGCGGUCGCUCAGCCGCAAUCCCCAUACAUCGAUCCAUUUCUCCGGUCGGGGUUCAUCAAACGCCAAUUCUAGCGACGUCGUCCAGUGACCCAAGCAUUCGAUGAAUCGGUUUACCAACGUCUCCAUCUAGCCAGCCAAUUUAUCGUUGCCAUGGCAAUAAAGCAGACUGGUUUAGUUUUGUUGUCGAGUGACAGGAAUGAACACUUUAUAGCAAUUCGCUAUACGCUUGUACGUUUGUAGUUACUGUUUAUCGAACGGAAGGAACAUACAGAUAGUUCCAACUCUAGUCUUGUUCUCCUGCCUACAACCUCGAGAGCUUCCGUCUUGUGAUAUCGACUGCUGGUAAUGUUGGCCACAUACCGGAUGCUUUCGUAAUGCGUGUAUGUGGAGACGCCCGACAAGACCACAGCCCCCAUUUGGUCAAGGACAAAACAGAGUAUAAUUGACGAAAAAUUGUAUAAAUUCGAUGGAGACUUCUUUUGGUAAGGAAGAUGCACCCGCUGACCGGAAGAGCGUGGGUAGAGGACGAUCCGCGCCGCCGGAAACUCCCGAUAUUUGAUGGGAAAACAGGCGCCGCGAAUAGAGAAACUGACAGCUUUCUUCGAUUUCUAGAAGCCCCUAGUAACAAACCCCAUACAACGAUCCCCUAAAGCAGCAUGAACGGCACAAAAGCAGAGAAGGCCAACCAUGUGCCGCGUUUCGUCUUAUCUUCGCGUUUCCUGUUGCCUGGACACAGCCUUCUUGUGCCCGUGGGUCAUAGCAGUCUACUCUCCAAUCGGAGCCACGAUAGGGCGACUUGUUCCUCGACUUGCCCCCACGCCUUUCCUUGGACUGCAACUAAUAGACUUAGAUGAAUUGAAGUGAGGACGUAAAGCAUUUACAUCUGCAAAACCAAAGCCAGUUUUACUGCUGGUGAAACCGUGUUCACUGGAAACUGACUAAUUCAAUUCAGCGUUUGAACCAUCAAACAGUCCAUUAAUACCCAACUAGCCUCAUCGCACACACACUACAGGCCCCGCCUCCAUAUCAUUGCUAAAACUAGAACCCUUCCUAAACACCCCGCAGCAAUCUAGUGAACAGCUUGGUUCACGACUCCAGCAGGUAGCUGGAUAAUAGGACUAAGUAUAGAACAGGGGGGAAACGCGUUAACUUCAGCUAAAUUAUUGGCACUGAAGUCUAUGCCCUUUUCGAGACAACGUCUGUAAGUACCAGUAGCUGGCUUCCGCUGUGGCGUCUGAAUAUUGGACCGAGGAUGAGGGACCGCGACUUCACGCAAGCAAGCGAAUAGUUCCUCGCAGACAAUUACUUUGCCACCAACCACCCGCACGUUGUUCCAGCAGCUACGUGCGGAGUUCUCCCCUUCAGCCUCAAAGAUCCCAGCCUGCCUGCUUCGCUUCCUCUGUCGAGCGUUGAUCCAAUUACUAAGCGUUUCAAUGAAGAUCCUUUGAAGAGACGUUCCUCACGCCGUCCUGGUUGGGUCAAUCUGUACGGCUGCACAUGUUCGUGUAUAGUCUGCGGGUGCUUGCCGCUUAGGGCUUCGGAAGCCAAAGAGGUAAAGGCGGUGCUGCUGAGGUUAAGGGGGCAUUUUCCUUGAAUCCUUUUGAUCAAAUUGAAACAGCACCACAGCUAGUAAGAUAGAGUAAAAAAUAACGAACGGUACCAAUAUACACACAGCUGGCCAGUGAACGAAUCUGCUUGCCAUCCAACCACUCCUGGUGUCAGCAGUCUGCAGUACGCCAAGUAACCGAACUGCUUCUGCUCGGUGCCGCCGGAUCCGCAAUUACUUCUCUAGUAUUGUACAACUCUUCUUUCGGCAGCUGCAAUGGAAAGACACUAGGUUUGCCGUGGAGGCGGACGGUGUUUGAAAGAGAUAGAACAGGAAAAACCUUUUGGUGGCUCAUUCAUUGUGUUGUUGUGGCUACCUACCGGAGGCACCGCUUGUCCUUCAGGGAGAAGCCGGUAACCGCUUGACCGUUGCUUUGUCGAUGAGUGGCGGUAUGGGACAGCGGCUGCAGUCAAACGAGUGGGGGCUUCGUUGCUUCGAGCGAAGAAGGAACAAUGGAGCUUUUUUCUUGGGCAAGAAAUAGUAUCGUCCCGAUGUAGCAGGACUGAGGGUGAAGAGUGGAAUGGGGCAUCGUCUCCUCAAAACCUCCGGUACAGCAGCCAGAGUAUAGCAUUUUGAGUAUUUGUACGUAUGUAUGAAUGUGAGAAAAGGGCAAUGCGCUCCUACGAACAACUUGAAAAGUUUAGUCUGACAAGAAGUAUCGCUGUUGCCUCGUAAGCUUUACCAAGACACUCGCUCUUCUGGCGGUUCCUUUUAACGAUUGGAUGCCGACGACCGUCUAAAAUACGCCAUACAAACCCAUACAGACAGGUGCAAUCAGGAACACAAGGAACUUUUGAAUGGAGAAGAUUUGCACGGCAAUUGUGACUGGCCUGCACGUCUUAUCUGGCAACUGUCACGAAUGAAUACGUGUACGUAUGAGUAUACUUUGAAUAAAGCAAAGGAAAAUUCUAGAAGAGGAAUAUUUGUGAACGUUAACGAAAGAGCGCGUGUACGUGUCGAGUAGGACAUAAAGUGACGAUAAUAUAUUUAUUUGACGAAGAUGGUGAUGAAUAAAUAUGCCUUGUUACUAAAACCUUAUGCACUAAAGCAAACAAGUUUAUUGAUAUCGUGCAGGCGGUGAAAAACAAGUAAGCGGUGUAAUUCCAGAGAGGAGCAUCAACAGUGGGAUUAACUUUUCCU
rnacentral:lncRNA from 1 species